UACGGAGGGGGUUAGCGUUGUUCGGAAUUACUGGGCGUAAAGCGUACGUAGCGGGUUGUUAAGUUAGAGGUGAAAUCCCAGGGCUCAACCCUGGAACUGCCUUUAAUACUGGCAACCUAGAGUUCGAGAGAGGUGAGUGGAAUUCCGAGUGUAGAGGUGAAAUUCGUAGAUAUUCGGAGGAACACCAGUGGCGAAGGCGGCUCACUGGCUCGAUACUGACGCUGAGGUACGAAAGUGUGGGGAGCAAACAGGAUUAGAUACCCUGGUAGUCCACACCGUAAACGAUGAAUGCCAGUCGUCGGCAAGUAUACUUGUCGGUGACACACCUAACGGAUUAAGCAUUCCGCCUGGGGAGUACGGUCGCAAGAUUAAAACUCAAAUGAAUUGACGGGGGCCCGCACAAGCGGUGGAGCAUGUGGUUUAAUUCGAUGCAACGCGAAGAACCUUACCUGGCCUUGACAUGUACGGAAGGCUUUAGAGAUAGAGCUGUGCCUUCGGGAACCGUAACACAGGUGCUGCAUGGCU
rnacentral:rRNA from 1 species